rnacentral:ncRNA from 1 species
UUUCAGGGGAGCUUGUAAAGCAGGCUGAGAGGAAGUUAUCUAACUUCGACCCUUAAACCUGAUGCGGAUAAUGCCGCCGUAGGAAGUCAUAGUU